UACGGGGGGGGCAAGCGUUGUUCGGAAUUACUGGGCGUAAAGGGCUCGUAGGUGGCCAACUAAGUCAGACGUGAAAUCCCUCGGCUUAACCGGGGAACUGCGUCUGAUACUGGAUGGCUUGAGUUUGGGAGAGGGACGCGGAAUUCCAGGUGUAGCGGUGAAAUGCGUAGAUAUCUGGAGGAACACCAAUUGCGAAGGCAGCUCGCUGGGACGUUACUGACGCUGAGACGCGAAAGCGUGGGGAGCAAACAGGG
rnacentral:rRNA from 1 species